CCUACGGGAGGCAGCAGUGAGGAAUAUUGGUCAAUGGGCGCGAGCCUGAACCAGCCACGUAGCGUGAAGGAUGACUGCCCUACGGGCUGUAAACUUCUUUUAUAAAGGAAUAAAGUGAGGCACGUGUGCCUUUUUGUAUGUACUUUAUGAUUAAGGAUCGGCUAACUCUGUGCCAGCAGCCGCGGUAAUACGGAGGAUCCGAGCGUUAUCCGGAUUUAUUGGGUUUAAAGGGAGCGUAGAUGGGUUGUUAAGUCAGUUGUGAAAGUUUGCGGCUUAACCGUAAAAUUGCAAUGGAUACUGGCAGCCUUGAGUACAGUAGAGGUAGGCGGAAUUCGUGGUGUAGCGGUGAAAUGCUUAGAUAUCACGAGGAACUCCGAUUGCGAAGGCAGCCUACUAAACUGCCACUGACAUUGAUGCUCGAAAGUGUGGGUAUCAAACAGGAUUAGAUACCCUAGUAGUC
rnacentral:rRNA from 1 species